rnacentral:rRNA from 1 species
CGAAUCUCGAAAGCCUGUCUCAGUUCGGAUUGGAGGCUGAAGCCCGCCACCAUGAAGUUGGAUUCGCUAGUAAUCGCGCAUCAGCCAUGGCGCGGUGAAUACGUUCCCGGGCCAUGUACACACCGCCCGUCAAGCCAUGGGAGCCGGGGGUGCCUGAAGUUCGUGACCGCAAGGAGCGACCUAGGGCAAAACUGGUGACUGGGGCUAAGUCGUAACAAGGUAUC